UAAUACCCAAUGACGUCUCUAGAAGACAUCUGAAAGAGAUUAAAGAUUUAUCGGUGAUGGAUGGGGAUGCGUCUGAUUAGCUUGUUGGGGGGGUAACGGCCCACCAAGGCAACGAUCAGUAGGGGUUCUGAGAGGAAGGUCCCCCACAUUGGAACUGAGACACGGUCCAAACUCCUACGGGAGGCAGCAGUGAGGAAUAUUGGUCAAUGGACGAGAGUCUGAACCAGCCAAGUAGCGUGCAGGAAGACGGCCCUAUGGGUUGUAAACUGCUUUUAUAAGGGAAUAAAGUGAGUCUCGUGAGACUUUUUGCAUGUACCUUAUGAAUAAGGACCGGCUAAUUCCGUGCCAGCAGCCGCGGUAAUACGGAAGGUCCGGGCGUUAUCCGGAUUUAUUGGGUUUAAAGGGAGCGUAGGCCGGAGAUUAAGCGUGUUGUGAAAUGUAGAUGCUCAACAUCUGAACUGCAGCGCGAACUGGUUUCCUUGAGUACGCACAAAGUGGGCGGAAUUCGUGGUGUAGCGGUGAAAUGCUUAGAUAUCACGAAGAACUCCGAUUGCGAAGGCAGCUCACUGGAGCGCAACUGACGCUGAAGCUCGAAAGUGCGGGUAUCGAAAAGGAUUAGAUCCCCUGGUAGUCCGCACGGUAAACGAAGGAUGCCCGCUGUUGGUCUGAAUAGGUCAGCGGCCAAGCGAAAGCAUUAAGCAUCCCACCUGGGGAGUACGCCGGCAACGGUGAAACUCAAAGGAAUUGACGGGGGCCCGCACAAGCGGAGGAACAUGUGGUUUAAUUCCAUGAUACGCGAGGAACCUUACCCGGGCUUGAAUUGCAGAGGAAGGAUUUGGAGACAAUGACGCCCUUCGGGGCCUCUGAGAAGGUGCUGCAUGGUUGUCGUCAGCUCGUGCCGUGAGGUGUCGGCUUAAGUGCCAUAACGAGCGCAACCCCUCUCCUUAGUUGCCAUCAGGUGAAGCUGGGCACUCUGGGGACACUGCCACCGUAAGGUGUGAGGAAGGUGGGGAUGACGUCAAAUCAGCACGGCCCUUACGUCCCGGGCUACACACGUGUUACAAUGGCAGGUACAGAGAGACGGUCCCUUGCAAAAUGGAUCAAAUCCUUAAAGCCUGUCUCAGUUCGGACUGGGGUCUGCAACCCGACCCCACGAAGCUGGAUUCGCUAGUAAUCGCGCAUCAGCCAUGGCGCGGUGAAUACGUUCCCGGGCCUUGCACA
rnacentral:rRNA from 1 species